rnacentral:lncRNA from 1 species
UGACCAAUGGAGGAAACCAUAAUGAGGUUGUAUCGGUCCAUAUUUUGACCGCAAACAUUUUAUGAAAAUUCGAUAAGUGCAGUACACAAAUUGCAAUUGAUGAACAGAAGCACUUGAUCAUUUAGGCAGUCCCAAGACCCUGUUUGGUACCGAUAUUUUGAAUGAUUAACCUUUUCGUUUGCUACAGUGAUUUUAGAACUUUCAUUCCAAUAUGUGUACAUGAUGGGAUACCUGUUUUUUCAUUUUUUAUUAUUCAACAGUAUUCAAUCUUCUGCUUGAAAAAAAAGGCAGAACCUUGCCCAUUUUUUCUCAUUCUUGAUUAUUCAAGAAUAUUCAAUUUUCUGCUCCGAUUCCUUGUUUGGCACCAAUGUUUUCCAAGACAUUUUUUUUUGUUUCUUACGAUAAUGGAGUUUUGCACAUUUUUGGAAUUUUCAUUGCAUCAUAUAUGCCUCGUCUGGUUUAUAGUCGAUACCUAUUGGGAACAAUGAUGGGCUGCCGAUUUUCUCAUUCUUGAUUAUUUGCCUUUGUAGAUACAUAAUAUGUCCUUGUAGGACCAACUGGUAUUUGGAGGGAAGAUGCUGAAAGGUACUGUUAGCAAAAUUAUAAAAGUAGAAUGAGAUGAGACCAAGUGAAGAAUGGGAAAGAUAACUAACUUUCUAUCUUCUAACAAUUUAGUUUUCUUUCCUUUUCUCUGCAUAAUGAGGAUUGUGUGUGACUUGAUUCUCUAUUUGAAAGGACAAAAUUCAAGUAUCUUGGCCAACAAGUGAAUUCAUGAAUAAAAGGUAUGUGUGAAUGAUUGAGAUUACAUGCUUUGGUUUUGUGCAUCAAAGAUUUGUUAUGCCUUAUAAGUAACCACAAACAAUUGAUAUAUGUGCAUAAAUAAAUAAGAUUAUGAUGAGGCUCUUUCAUAAUAUGCUUUCAAUGCUUGUUUGUAAAUUGACUAAUUACAUGAUAAGUAGACGUAUGACAAGUGGUACUUAAUGACAUUUAAGGUUGAUUUUGGAUUUUGAAAGUGGUGGUAAGGAUUAGCACCUCAUACUUUAAUUGAUUUAUGCUCUGGUAAUACUAAAAAUGAAUCAUUUCAAGAAUGACAAGGGUUUAGAUCAUCAUAGAAGUAUAUGGAUAGUUAGUUAACAUCCAUAGGUGAUGAUGCAAGAUGGCUUAGAAUUUCAAAACCUAAGCCUUCAGAUUUUGUGUCUUUACAAACAUUUUCUGCAUAAAUAAGGUCGUAGUGCUAUAAUACUAACUAAAACAUGCAAAUUCGAGGCUUCAUUAAAAAAACUGUUUAAUAUGAAUGGUGUCUAUUGUGCUUUCAAUGUUAAAUAUGAAAUGAUUUUACAAAUGCAAGGUGGAGUGUGCUUGUGUUGGAUUAGCUUACUGAUAAGGUUUAUGUUAGUUACCUUAUGUCCAACUGUCCAAGAUCCACAUAGAGUCAUUCAAAGGUGAAAAUUUGAGAGGGGGAAAGUUAGUCACGAGAAGGAGAGGGAGUUGAGUUUGUUAUAUAGGAUAGAGAAUAGAAUUAUGGUGUAUCGUUGAAUAAUACAAAUGCUAGCAGGUCUUACUUCAUAUGUCAGUGUUAUAAAGCAUGGGAAUUGAACUGUAAAUAUCUACUUGUUAACGUGAAUGCAGAGAAUCAAAAUGCAAAUGUUUGUAUAUUUGAUCAACUGCAGUAAUGUACAUAUAUUGAACUCAUUGUUUGCUUCCCUCUCACUGGACAGGCUAUCCUGGUUUACUUAAUCAACAACAUUAUGUCUGCUGUUGCUAGUCACCGUGGUAAUCUUCAGCUUACUGCUGUUAACCUUGGCAGUAGUGGAAUUCAGCUCUCUUUCCUUUUGGCCUAAUGGUAAUGCUAGCCACCAUUAAUUACUACUAUCACAUAUAUAGCAUGAGAAUUGAACGGUAAAUAUCUACUUGUAAAUGUGUUAAGUACUCAGUCAGUGCUAACUUUUCCAAUUGGGUCUGGACAUGAGGAAUUACCCUAUUUGUUAUUGUUGGAUGGUCUUGGACACUUGUUUUGGAAAGCAUUAUAUGGUGGACAACGUAUCUGUCAAAGUUUUUUGAUUGCAGACUUAUUAUGAAAAUUUAAUCUGAUUAAUCUUUUCUGUUUUACUUAUUAUGAAAAUCAGAUAAAACAAUGGUGUGUGAUUGACGGAUAAAAUUUGGUGGAUGUUGAUAUAAUAAUUAGAUAGCUCUAGAUCGGUGCUGAUAAUUGUAAAUGCAAGUCUUGGAUUAAGUUACGGAUAAUUGAUGAAUUGAUUAUGUAGGUGGUGUAGCAUAUAAACUUAUGAUGACCUUUCUUUUGGACAAUUUUUAGUACGACAAUUCUUGCAAUCGUACUGUGACUUUAUGGCCAAGCUAGACACUCCUUAUCCCAUAAUUAUUGAGAAAAUUCACAUUCUUUUAUUAGCGUGGGUUUCAUAUCUCAAAUAUAAGAUAGAGGUGUAUGCUAAUUUUUUUUAUUCUAAAUUGUCUGCAUAGCUAGGACAAUUUUCUCUUUGAUUAUUGAUGGACACAAGGAUAGACUCAAAGUUCACACAACCAUAUUUUAUAAGUAUUUUUCUGCAAAUUGAUAUCCUAUUGUGUUUAAAUAUUCACUAAUAAAUUAAAUAGUGAUAUGAUCUUACGAUAACAAUAAAACUGAGUCUCGGUGUACUGUGUACGAUACUUAAUCUGGUGCUUGUAGUUUACUUCAACUUGAUGGGAUGAAAUUCUCUGAUGAUCAGCAAUUCAAGCUUUUUUCAUUAUUUAGACUUACAUAUUACCAUAUUCUUAUAUAUGUAGAGAAGCUUUGUUGAACACUUUUACAGGGCACUAAUUGUUUUAUAAGUUAUGUAUGCCUGCAGCUCGCAUGCACACAUACUGAUAUAUUUGAGCCUAACAACUUGGUGCCCUAGAAAAUAUGGGGCCAUAUGCCAUCGCACACCCUAAACAUGCUUAGGUCUGCCAUUGACUGUUUACCAAAACAAUGGGUAAAAGUACAUUGACAUGAAAUGAGGAGAGAAAAUCAUUUGUAUAUAUGAAUAUAUGUAUACAUUAAACACAAAACACAUGGAUUAUGAAGAUGUAAGAAUUAUAAAGCCAACCUUGAAAUUAAAAACAUGAUAUACUACAAUCAAUCCUUGACAAUUUUCAAAAUACUCAAAUAAGGCAAAUCAAAUAUCAUCCUCCUCCUCUCUCUCUAUUGGAGCUGGUGCAUGUUCAUUGAUACUAUAUUGUUUAUUCAGUGCAGGAUUGACACAAGCAAACAGUGAUGAUGCUGAUGAUACUGAUGAUGAUGAUUGAUGAUGCUUUUGUCUCUUU